rnacentral:rRNA from 1 species
ACACGACUACAUUAGAUACCCCCGGUAGUCCCAGCCCUAAACGAUGCGCGUUAGGUGUAUCGGUGACCACGAGUCACCGAGGUGCCGAAGGGAAACCGUGAAACGUGCCGCCUGGGAAGUACGGUCGCAAGGCUGAAACUUAAAGGAACUGGCGGGGGAGCACCACAAGAGGUGGAGGCUGCGGUUCAAUUGGACUCAACGCCGGAAAACUCAUCGGGAGCGACAGCAGUAUGAUUGCCAGGUUGAUGACCUUGCUUGACAAGCUG